AGAAUUAUUAAAGUGGCAGAAU
rnacentral:tRNA from 1 species